rnacentral:rRNA from 1 species
GCUUGGUGGAUCAGUGGCGAACGGGUGAGUAACACGUGAGCAACCUGCCCUGGACUCUGGGAUAAGCGCUGGAAACGGCGUCUAAUACUGGAUAUGAGCCUCUUCCGCAUGGUGGGGGUUGGAAAGAUUUUUUGGUCUGGGAUGGGCUCGCGGCCUAUCANNUUGUUGGUGAGGUAAUGGCUCACCAAGGCGUCGACGGGUAGCCGGCCUGAGAGGGUGACCGGCCACACUGGGACUGAGACACGGCCCAGACUCCUACGGGAGGCAGCAGUGGGGAAUAUUGCACAAUGGGCGAAAGCCUGAUGCAGCAACGCCGCGUGAGGGAUGACGGCCUUCGGGUUGUAAACCUCUUUUAGCAGGGAAGAAGCGAAAGUGACGGUACCUGCAGAAAAAGCGCCGGCUAACUACGUGC